rnacentral:rRNA from 1 species
UCAGCUUCGAGCUGGGCAUAAAGUGGUUUAGCAUUGAACUCACCAAGAGGGCGUAAUAAUGCUUUCUUCGCCAUCCACGAACAGUGAUCCAUUGUACCGCCAACGCCGAUACCAAUAAUAUAAGGAGGGCAUGGAUUGCCUCCUACACGACGGACAGUUUCCAGAACAAAAUCUUUUAUACCAUCAAUACCAUCGCCGGGAAGCAAUGUUUUAAAAGUUCCCAUAUUUUCGCUACCGCCGCCCUUUGGCAUAACGGUAAUUGUCACUCGGUCACCAUCAACAAUUUCAGUAUGUAAAAUUGCAGGAGUAUUAUCAUUAGUAUUAAUACGUUCUAAUGGAUCUGCAACCAUGGAUUUUCUUAAGUAUCCAUUUUCAUAGCCCUGGCGAACACCCUGGUUCACCUGAUCUUUAAGCGGCUUACCUUCCCAGCAUACAUGUUGUCCAAUUUCCAUUAUAACGAUACAAGUGCCGGUAUCAUGGCAGCAUGCAAGUUGUUCUUUUUUUGCAUACUCUCCAUUAUCAAUUAAUAUCUUAAUGGUUUCCUUGCCGAUCUUUGACUCUUCUUUAUCAUAUGCUUUACGAAAAGAACACAUGAGAUUAUCAUCCAGUUCAUAACAAGCUUUUUUUACAAGUUUUUCGAUAAUCGGAAUGAUAAUUUCUGUAUUUAAUAUACGACUCAUACUCCCUCCAGUGCUAUGUUGCAUUGUUUUAUCCAUUGAUCACAUUUUCAUGAUAUUCGUAUUCAUUGUAGGAAGGAAAUAUGUUAUUUUUAUUAAAUGAUAAAUUUUAUUUAUAGUAGUGGAAAAUAGAUGGAAAUUAGACAAUUAGAAUAUUUUGUAAGCGCUUCUUUGUUAGGUAACUUAACCAGAGUUGCUGAGCGGCAUUUUGUUUCUCAACCUAAUAUCACCAUUGCUAUUAAGAAGUUAGAGACUGAAUUAGGGGUGACAUUAUUUGAUAGAAAGAAAAAUAAACUUGUCCUUACUGAGGAGGGCAUGUUUUUCUUACAAAAAAUUGAACCUAUCCUUAUUGCGUUAAAAAAUAGCGUAGCGGAAAUGAAAGAUUAUCGUAAUGAAAAUGGUGGCAUAGUAACUUUGGGGAUCCCACCGAUGAUAAGUUUGUUUCUUUUUUCACCGCUCUUCAAGCAUUUCCGAGAGAUUUAUCCAGAGAUGGAACUCUCUCUUGUUGAAGAGGGGACUUUUGGUUUACAUGAUAAACUUUCUGCUGGAGAGCUGGAUCUUGCUAUUGUUAUUAUUAAUGACUGUCCAAAAGAAUUAGUUACGGUACCAUUAAUGACUCAGCAGCACGUGGUAUGUAUGUCAGAUAAACAUCCUCUGGCAAAAAAGGAUAGUAUCGAUUGGGAAGAUCUACAAUAUGAGCCAUUGAUACUAAUGAAAAAAGAUUCCUGGCAUAGAAAAACGAUUAUUGAAGAAUGUACAAAGCGAGGAAUUCAUACACAUAUUUUUCUAUCAUCAAACAGGGUUCAAACCAACAUAGAUCUGGUUGCUAAAAAUGAAGGAAUUUCUUUCAUUUUGGACGCUGUCGAUCUUAAAGCCGAAAAAGUAAUAACCAAGGCCAUGACUGAGCCGACUUAUGUUACGAUUGGUUUGGCCUGGAAGAAAGAUAAAUAUUUAUCAUAUGCAACCAGAGCGUUAAUUAAAUUCAUUGAGGAUUAUAUUAAAGAACAUUUUACAAUUAAAUAAUUAUAUUUGUUCUUCAACAAAAAUUUCCCAUAGCUCUUCGGCAUCUGGAGGCAUUCUCUUGGCUGGUCUAUAAAGUCUUAUUUCUAUGGGUACCCAUAAAUUACUUUCUUUUUCCGCUGCAGUAACAAUAGUUUUAGCCUCUAUAUCUUGCCUGGCAAGGCUUUGAGGUAUCCAGGCAACACCAUCGCCAGAUCUGACCAUUGCCAAUAGUGUUGCUGCCAGAUCGGCCACAAAGGCAACAUUUAUAUUAUGGGUAAUUCUGUUAAUAGACGCUGUAUUUGCUAUUAUUCUUCCCAGACCUGAUUGUGAUGAAAAAGAAAGGUAAGGGAAUUGAAUCUUAUUAUUUAUAUUCCACAACGGUUUUAACGUUUCUGAGUCUGGUUUACUGAAUGGAAUUAAUGUAUCAAACCCAAGACGAAUGCUCAUAAAGUUAUUUUUAUUUAAAUUUAGAUGCAUAUGUGGGUGAUGGUGACACAGCAAAAAUUGUGAAUCUCCCUGCCGCAUCAUUUUUUCGCACGCAUUCAAUGAGUCAGAUAAAAGACGAAAUGAACCAAAUUUUGCAAUUUUAUCACUCUGUUUUAACAAAUGCGGUACAAAAGAGAAAGACAAAGCAUGCGUUGCUGAAAAAACAAGACUGGGUUGUUUAUUACCUGCGGCCUCAAGGGUAUCACUUUUCAAUGUGUACAAGGAGUGGAUCAGUUCGGGAAGCUGGUCUGUAAAUACUUCUCCGGCCUUGGUAAGGGUGACUCCCCGUUUACUUCUUUCAAAAAGGGGCGUACCCACCCAUUCUUCGAGAGAUUGUAUCCGACGACUAAAUGCGGGUUGAGUCACAUAUCUUGAGGCAGACGCUUUUGAGAAAUUCAACGUUUCUUUUAGAGCCAGACAGUCUUCGAGCCAUGUUAGUUCGAGGUGAUGCCGAUAUUGCAUAAGCUGCAACCUUAUUAGCAUUGGAUGAGUUUCAUUUAUAUAAGUAGCAUUAUACACAGACAGAUUUUAAGAGGAAAUUAUUUGAUUAAACAGAAACAAAAGCAGUAAGAAUAUGUUAUGCCUUUGUCGGGUAAGUGUUGUUAUUUAUGUGAGUGUAUUCUUUCUCAAUAGAAAUUAAUUAGAUGUAAUUUUAGUAUAACAUGUGAUUUAUGCUUGUUGCAGUUGUAUUCAUGACUGUAAUGAGUUGUUUUUGUACCCUAAUAAUAUAAGGACGUAUACAUGUCACCAGCGAUUAUUACUUUGUUGGUUUUAGUGGUUGCAAUAAUUAUCUUUGUUAGCGAUCGUCUUCCUAUGGGAUUAGUUGCAUUUAUGGUCCCAAUGGCACUUUAUUUUACCGGUGUUAUCGAUGCUAAGGAUAUUUUUGCUUCAAUCGUAAAUGCGAAUGUUAUUCUUAUCGUCGCCAUGUGUGUACUCGGUGCGGCAUUUUUUAAAACAGGUUUGGCAUGGCAAUCAAGUAAAAUUUUACUAAAAUAUGCUAAAACAGAAAGAAGCCUUAGUGUAUUGAUUUUUCUUAUUGGUGGAGUUAUGUCUGCCUUUGUUUCUAAUAGCGGAACAGUUGCUGUGCUAAUUCCUAUUGUUUUAGGUAUUGCCGCCAGUAGUCAGAUUAAGCCUAUUAAACUUCUUAUGCCUCUGGUUUUUGGGGCAACAAUCGGUGCUGAUAUUUCUAUUAUCGGUUCGCCAGGAAAUCUGAUUGCUAAAAAUACUAUUGAAACUUUUAGUAAGGGAAGUCUGUCGGUGCCAUUUUUCGAAUACGCUAAAAUUGGUAUUCCUUUGCUGAUUGCAUGCUCUAUAUUUCUCUAUUUCUUCGGUUCAAAACUCAUCGCAGAUCGUGAUGGAAAUACACAAUCUGAUUCUCAAAUGGAUUAUAGCCAAAUUCCGGCCUGGCAUAGAAAUUUAACUUUAGCCGUUUUUAUUCUGUCUAUCGCUGGAAUGGUGGCAACUGAUUAUAUUAAGUUUCUGCCUCCAAUGCAUAUUAUUGCGUGUUGUGCGGCUAUUGUUCUUGUAUUUGCUGGCGUUUUGACACAAAAGGAAACUUUUAAUUCUUUUGAAACACUAACUGUUUUCAUGCUUGCGUUUAUGAUGCCUUUAGGAGCCGCGCUUAAUUCUACUGGUGCUGGAGAAAUGAUUGCUAAUGCCGUUAUUUCAGUAACCGGAGAUUCUGGCGUUAUGAUUAUUAUGGCGUCAUUGUGGAUACUUACAUGGGCUUUGACUCAAGUUAUGAGUAACACUGCAGCAUGUACGUUGUUAUGCCCGGUAGGAUGGACUAUCGCACAGUCUAUUGGCGCAGACCCUCGUGCAGUUGUUAUUGCUGUUUUUAUUGCGAGUAGUGUUGCUGUUUGUACCCCAAUGGCUAUUCCAGCAAACUCAAUGAUUAUUGGCCCGGGGAAUGUUAAAUUUAAAGAUUUUUUAAAACCCGGAUUGGCGAUUAGUUUGGUUUGUUUUAUCGUUAGUAUGAUUUUACUACCGAUAUUUUAUCCCUUCUAUUAAUGCCUGAUAUUACUUUUCUAUUUUAGAUUAUUAAAUUUGAGACUUUAUUAUGAAUAGUUCGGUGCUAUUAGGUGAAGGCUUCACCCUGAUGUUCCUCGGCAUGGGGUUCGUGCUGGCGUUUCUGUUCCUGCUGAUUUUCGCCAUCCGCGGCAUGUCCGCCGCCGUCAACCGCUUCUUCCCUGAACCGGUCCCGGUACCGAAGGCGGCACCNAAGCGAAGCUCCUGAUCGAAGCCCCGGUAAACGGCGGCCGUAACUAUAACGGUCCUAAGGUAGCGAAAUUCCUUGUCGGGUAAGUUCCGACCUGCACGAAUGGCGUAAUGAUGGCCAGGCUGUCUCCACCCGAGACUCAGUGAAAUUGAACUCGCUGUGAAGAUGCAGUGUACCCGCGGCAAGACGGAAAGACCCCGUGAACCUUUACUAUAGCUUGACACUGAACAUUGAGCCUUGAUGUGUAGGAUAGGUGGGAGGCUUUGAAGUGUGGACGCCAGUCUGCAUGGAGCCGACCUUGAAAUACCACCCUUUAAUGUUUGAUGUUCUAACGUGGACCCGUAAUCCGGGUUGCGGACAGUGUCUGGUGGGUAGUUUGACUGGGGCGGUCUCCUCCUAAAGAGUAACGGAGGAGCACGAAGGUUGGCUAAUCCUGGUCGGACAUCAGGAGGUUAGUGCAAUGGCAUAAGCCAGCUUGACUGCGAGCGUGACGGCGCGAGCAGGUGCGAAAGCAGGUCAUAGUGAUCCGGUGGUUCUGAAUGGAAGGGCCAUCGCUCAACGGAUAAAAGGUACUCCGGGGAUAACAGGCUGAUACCGCCCAAGAGUUCAUAUCGACGGCGGUGUUUGGCACCUCGAUGUCGGCUCAUCACAUCCUGGGGCUGAAGUAGGUCCCAAGGGUAUGGCUGUUCGCCAUUUAAAGUGGUACGCGAGCUGGGUUUAGAACGUCGUGAGACAGUUCGGUCCCUAUCUGCCGUGGGCGCUGGAGAACUGAGGGGGGCUGCUCCUAGUACGAGAGGACCGGAGUGGACGCAUCACUGGUGUUCGGGUUGUCAUGCCAAUGGCACUGCCCGGUAGCUAAAUGCGGAAGAGAUAAGUGCUGAAAGCAUCUAAGCACGAAACUUGCCCCGAGAUGAGUUCUCCCUGAGACUUAGAGUCUCCUGAAGGAACGUUGAAGACGACGACGUUGAUAGGCCGGGUGUGUAAGCGCAGCGAUGCGUUGAGCUAACCGGUACUAAUGAACCGUGAGGCUUAACCUU